rnacentral:rRNA from 1 species
GAUGAACGCUGGCGGCGUGCCUAAUACAUGCAAGUCGAGCGAACAGAUAAGGAGCUUGCUCCUUUGACGUUAGCGGCGGACGGGUGAGUAACACGUGGGUAACCUACCUAUAAGACUGGGAUAACUUCGGGAAACCGGAGCUAAUACCGGAUAACAUUUGGAACCGCAUGGUUCUAAAGUGAAAGAUGGUUUUGCUAUCACUUAUAGAUGGACCCGCGCCGUAUUAGCUAGUUGGUAAGGUAACGGCUUACCAAGGCGACGAUACGUAGCCGACCUGAGAGGGUGAUCGGCCACACUGGAACUGAGACACGGUCCAGACUCCUACGGGAGGCAGCAGGAGGGAAUCUUCCGCAAUGGGCGAAAGCCUGACGGAGCAACGCCGCGUGAGUGAUGAAGGGUUUCGGCUCGUAAAACUCUGUUAUUAGGGAAGAACAAAUGUGUAAGUAACUGUGCACGUCUUGACGGUACCUAAUCAGAAAGCCACGGCUAACUACGUG